rnacentral:rRNA from 1 species
UACGUAGGGGGCAAGCGUUGUCCGGAAUCAUUGGGCGUAAAGCGCGUGUAGGCGGCUCGAUAAGUCAGCUGUGAAAGUCCAGGGCUCAACCCUGGAAUGCCGGUUGAUACUGUCGAGCUCGAGUCCGGAAGAGGUGAGUGGAAUUCCUGGUGUAGCGGUGAAAUGCGCAGAUAUCAGGAGGAACACCAAUGGCGAAGGCAGCUCACUGGGACGGUACUGACGCUGAGACGCGAAAGCGUGGGGAGCAAACAGG